rnacentral:rRNA from 1 species
UACGUAGGGGGCAAGCGUUAUCCGGAUUUACUGGGUGUAAAGGGAGCGUAGACGGCCUUGCAAGUCUGGUGUGAAAGCCCGGGGCUCAACCCCGGGACUGCAUUGGAAACUGCAUGGCUGGAGUGCAGGAGAGGUAAGCGGAAUUCCUAGUGUAGCGGUGAAAUGCGUAGAUAUCAGGAGGAACACCAGUGGCGAAGGCGGCUUACUGGACUGUAACUGACGUUGAGGCUCGAAAGCGUGGGGAGCAAACAGG